GAUAAACGCUGGCGGCGCACAUAAGACAUGCAAGUUGAACGGACUUAAUCGAAAUAUUUAUAUUUUGAAGCGGUUAGUGGCGGACUGGUGAGUAACGCGUAAGGAACCUGCCUAUUAGAGGGGAAUAACAGUGAGAAAUCAUUGCUAAUACCGCAUAUGCCAUAGAUAUCACAUGAUAACAGUGGGAAAGGAGCAAUCCGCUAAUAGAUGGCCUUGCGUCUGAUUAGAUAGUUGGUGGGGUAACGGCCUACCAAGUCGACGAUCAGUAGCCGGACUGAGAGGUUGAACGGGCACAUUGGGACUGAGAUACGGCCCAGACUCCUACGGGAGGCAGCAGUCGGGAAUAUUGCGCAAUGGAGGAAACUCUGACGCAGUGACGCCGCGUAUAGGAAGAAGGUUUUCGGAUUGUAAACUAUUGUCGUUAGGGAAGAGAAAGGACAGUACCUAAGGAGGAAGCUCCGGCUAACUACGUG
rnacentral:rRNA from 1 species